rnacentral:Y_RNA from 1 species
GGCUGGUCCGAUGGUAGUGGGUUAUCAGAACUUAUUAACAUUAGUGUCACUAAAGUUGGUAUACAACCUCCCCACUGCUAAAUGUGACUGGCUCUUU